rnacentral:rRNA from 1 species
AUUGAACGCUGGCGGCAUGCCUUACACAUGCAAGUCGAACGGCAGCGGACCUUCGGGUGCCGGCGAGUGGCGAACGGGUGAGUAAUAUAUCGGAACGUACCUUUCAGUGGGGGAUAACGUAGCGAAAGUUACGCUAAUACCGCAUAUUCUGUGAGCAGGAAAGCAGGGGAUCGCAAGACCUUGCGCUGAUUGAGCGGCCGAUAUCAGAUUAGCUAGUUGGUGAGGUAAAGGCUCACCAAGGCGACGAUCUGUAGCGGGUCUGAGAGGAUGAUCCGCCACACUGGAACUGAGACACGGUCCAGACUCCUACGGGAGGCAGCAGUGGGGAAUUUUGGACAAUGGGCGCAAGCCUGAUCCAGCCAUGCCGCGUGAGU